rnacentral:rRNA from 1 species
CAGCAGUAAGGAAUAUUGCACAAUGGGGGAAGCCAUGGUGCAGCAACGCCGCGUGGGCGAUGAAGGCCUUCGGGUCGUAAAGCCCUUUUCUGGGGGAAGAGAGGGGACUGUACCCCAGGAAAAAGUCUCGGCUAACUCCGUG